AAUACAAAAAAAUUAGUUUCAUUAGGUUAGUUGGAUGAAUGACAAUUUUUUUUCUGCAGAUUUUGUCAGCGUUUGAGCAUGGCUGUGAAUAAAGCCCAGUAAUAACAGCAAGACAGCCUGAUUAAUCAAAUUACAUCCUAAAUGAUGGUAUUUUAAUGCCUAGAGGUAAACUGACGCUUGUAAGUUUGAAAUAAACAUGAAGUUUGAAUUACAAAGUAGGAAGAGUGACAGGGAAGCCGGCCGUCUCCCACAUUACAAUGUUUGGCAUUGCCAGGAAAAUCGGAAGUCAGUGAUGAUGAGGAGGAGAAGUGAUGAAGACUGACUGACUGAGUCCCAAAAAAAGAGGCGUAUUUCCCAGCAUGCCGCUGGAUCAGACACAGUUCACUGCUGACGCCAGGCCACAAAUAUGGAGGUAAUGAGGUGCAAUGAGCUGCUGUGUGUGCUGCAUUUACUGACCUUUAAUGACUGUUUUGAAGAGAGGGAGUCACAUGACCGGCGGCCUGCUUGUCCCCGGGCGAGGACAGCUUCAGGGCUGCGUUUGGAAGGACGAGCACGGAGGAAGCAGAGAUGUCUGCCAACAACAGGGAUGCAUGAAAUCUUUAAUUAAAGCUUAAGACUCCAUCAGCAUGGCACUGGUCAUCUCAACUUCCUUCCUGGAUUUUACAGAAGUUCUUGGCACUCCAUCCUCCUGUUUCACCUCAAAUUCUUCUCUGACCUGGCUAGAAUCGUGCCUUACUAAAAACUCAUGUUCACUGGGACUCAAACCUGUUGAAGGAUGGAAACGCUGCAGCAGAAUGGGCGCUGGCUGAAGGAAAGUCAUAUACUCUUUGACCUUCAUCAAUUAAUUAUUUUUACAUUAAUAGAUGAAAAGUACAGCAAGAGUCUGCAUGAGAAAUUCAACUAUGAAUUACGUAAAAGAUGUUUAAAAUAAAAUUAGUUUGAACCUUUUUCUUUAAAACAAAUGAAAGUGAAAUAUUCUCAUAAACUUUAAAUUCUUGUCACUUUUUCAGUUUGGCAAUAGAAAGUUGACUUAAAAUUCAGUGCUGUAAUUAUGUACAAUCAAAAGAUUAUGAAUUUUCAUAAACAGUUACUCUCUUGGUUUUUUAUUUGGAGGUUCUUCCAUAAAUGGACUCAUUUGACUUUAUUUAUUGCUAUUUUUUGUGAUUUCGCGUUUGUCUUUUCAAAUCAAUUUUUUGGUCAAAAACUGUAAUUAAAAUUUAAAAUGACAAACUUUACAAAGUCUUGAAAUUUGUUCCAUAUGUUCAAGAUUUUGAUCAUUACUCACAGAAUAUUUAAAUGUUAAAUCUUUUCUUUUAAGGUUUCCUUAAAUUAAAAACUGAAAUUUAGAAACAAAAGCAGCAGAACUGAUGGAAAUCCACCUUAAGAACUGAUGGAAAUGUCAACCAGUGCUGCAUGAAGUGAUGGUGCAACAAAAAAAAGAAAAAGACGGAAAUCCAAGGUCGCUGUGUGAAGACCCACCUGCACAAGAGCAGACUGAAGAUGAAGGCCGUGCAAUGAUCAAGAGGCUGUUGAUGGGACAGUCGAUGGGAGUCCUGAUUGAAAAUGACCUUCAAAUACUUUUACUUCUGCUGUCUGCUGCAUUGUCUGUGUAAAACUUAUGUUUUUAGCCACUUCUAAUCCUCUGUUUGAUUGUUUCAAUAAAAUUCAGUAAAUUUCUGCUUGAAAUUAAGUAUUUGUUUG